AGAAUCAACGCUGGCGGCGUGCCUAACACAUGCAAGUCGCACGAGAAAGGGGAGCAAUCCCUGAGUAAAGUGGCGCACGGGUGAGUAACACGUGAAUAAUCUACCUCCGAGUGGGGAAUAACUGAGAGAAAUCUUAGCUAAUACCGCAUAACACUUACGAGUCAAAGCAGCAAUGCGCUUGAGGAGGGGGUCGCGGCAGAUUAGUUAGUUGGCGGGGUAAUGGCCCACCAAGACGAUGAUCUGUA
rnacentral:rRNA from 1 species